AGAAGGAGCCGAGCGGCUUCUGCUCAAUGGCGGAAAAGCCGCCGGUGCUCUGACGGCCUCGUUCCCCUAGCAGUUGCGGGGGAGUUUCCUGCCGGCGCGGCUGGAGUCUCUGAUUCUCAGGGUUCGGUGGUUGGAAGAUGCUCCAGAGAGACGAGGCUGCGACGGAGGAGGUGGCGGCGGCCGAAUCGGCAACGGCGCUAGGGUGGAGAGAAGGCGGCAGCGGCGGCGGCGGCGGCGUGAGGGGUCGGGCGGUGUAAACAGCCCCGGAGGCGGCGGAGGCGGCGGUCGAGACCCCGAGGGGGAAGCGGCGGCUGAGUCAGGGUCGCGCCUCCGUUGGAAACUUGGGCUGAGUACCGCGGCGGGCGCGAGCGAGGCGCCCUAGACAUCUUCUCCCUCCCUUGCCUCAGAUUUAUUGCUAAACAUGGGUGCAUUUUUGGAUAAACCCAAAACUGAAAAACAUAAUGCUCAUGGUGCUGGGAAUGGUUUACGUUAUGGCCUGAGCAGCAUGCAAGGAUGGAGAGUGGAAAUGGAAGAUGCACACACAGCUGUUGUAGGUAUUCCUCACGGCUUGGAAGACUGGUCAUUUUUUGCAGUUUAUGAUGGUCAUGCUGGAUCCCGAGUGGCAAAUUACUGCUCAACACAUUUAUUAGAACACAUCACUACUAACGAAGACUUUAGGGCAGCUGGAAAAUCAGGAUCUGCUCUUGAGCUUUCAGUGGAAAAUGUUAAGAAUGGUAUCAGAACUGGAUUUUUGAAAAUUGAUGAAUACAUGCGUAACUUUUCAGACCUCAGAAACGGGAUGGACAGGAGUGGUUCAACUGCAGUGGGAGUUAUGAUUUCACCUAAGCAUAUCUACUUUAUCAACUGUGGUGAUUCACGUGCUGUUCUGUAUAGGAAUGGACAAGUCUGCUUUUCUACCCAGGAUCACAAACCUUGCAAUCCAAGGGAAAAGGAGCGAAUCCAAAAUGCAGGAGGCAGCGUGAUGAUACAACGUGUUAAUGGUUCAUUAGCAGUAUCUCGUGCUCUGGGGGACUAUGAUUACAAGUGUGUUGAUGGCAAGGGCCCAACAGAACAACUUGUUUCUCCAGAGCCUGAGGUUUAUGAAAUUUUAAGAGCAGAAGAGGAUGAAUUUAUCAUAUUGGCUUGUGAUGGGAUCUGGGAUGUUAUGAGUAAUGAGGAGCUCUGUGAAUAUGUUAAAUCUAGGCUUGAGGUAUCUGAUGACCUGGAAAAUGUGUGCAAUUGGGUAGUGGACACUUGUUUACACAAGGGAAGUCGAGAUAACAUGAGUAUUGUACUAGUUUGCUUUUCAAAUGCUCCCAAGGUCUCAGAUGAAGCGGUGAAAAAAGAUUCAGAGUUGGAUAAGCACUUGGAAUCACGGGUUGAAGAGAUUAUGGAGAAGUCUGGCGAGGAAGGAAUGCCUGAUCUUGCCCAUGUCAUGCGCAUCUUGUCUGCAGAAAAUAUCCCAAAUUUGCCUCCUGGGGGAGGUCUUGCUGGCAAGCGUAAUGUUAUUGAAGCUGUUUAUAGUAGACUGAAUCCACAUAGAGAAAGUGAUGGGAUGGCAGUCUUGGGCACGUCCAUUUGUAAACCUGCUGAGAGCUCUGGUGACAAGAAAGGCAGUGGCUGGCAGACCUUCCAAGCACUCAGAAGCACGCGGACAAAAAGGUUUUUUUGUAAACCCGAACGAAAAAUAAACCCAGCAUUAUAUAAUUAUA
rnacentral:sRNA from 1 species